AUGAACGCUAGCUACAGGCUUAACACAUGCAAGUCGAGGGGCAGCAUGGUCUUAGCUUGCUAAGGCCGAUGGCGACCGGCGCACGGGUGAGUAACACGUAUCCAACCUGCCGUCUACUCUUGGACAGCCUUCUGAAAGGAAGAUUAAUACAAGAUGGCAUCAUGAGUCCGCAUGUUCACAUGAUUAAAGGUAUUCCGGUAGACGAUGGGGAUGCGUUCCAUUAGAUAGUAGGCGGGGUAACGGCCCACCUAGUCUUCGAUGGAUAGGGGUUCUGAGAGGAAGGUCCCCCACAUUGGAACUGAGACACGGUCCAAACUCCUACGGGAGGCAGCAGUGAGGAAUAUUGGUCAAUGGGCGAGAGCCUGAACCAGCCAAGUAGCGUGAAGGAUGACUGCCCUAUGGGUUGUAAACUUCUUUUAUAAAGGAAUAAAGUCGGGUAUGCAUACCCGUUUGCAUGUACUUUAUGAAUAAGGAUCGGCUAACUCCGUGCCAGCAGCCGCGGUAAUACGGAGGAUCCGAGCGUUAUCCGGAUUUAUUGGGUUUAAAGGGAGCGUAGAUGGAUGUUUAAGUCAGUUGUGAAAGUUUGCGGCUCAACCGUAAAAUUGCAGUUGAUACUGGAUAUCUUGAGUGCAGUUGAGGCAGGCGGAAUUCGUGGUGUAGCGGUGAAAUGCUUAGAUAUCACGAAGAACUCCGAUUGCGAAGGCAGCCUGCUAAGCUGCAACUGACAUUGAGGCUCGAAAGUGUGGGUAUCAAACAGGAUUAGAUACCCUGGUAGUCCACACGGUAAACGAUGAAUACUCGCUGUUUGCGAUAUACAGCAAGCGGCCAAGCGAAAGCGUUAAGUAUUCCACCUGGGGAGUACGCCGGCAACGGUGAAACUCAAAGGAAUUGACGGGGGCCCGCACAAGCGGAGGAACAUGUGGUUUAAUUCGAUGAUACGCGAGGAACCUUACCCGGGCUUAAAUUGCAGAUGAAUUACGGUGAAAGCCGUAAGCCGCAAGGCAUCUGUGAAGGUGCUGCAUGGUUGUCGUCAGCUCGUGCCGUGAGGUGUCGGCUUAAGUGCCAUAACGAGCGCAACCCUUGUUGUCAGUUACUAACAGGUUCCGCUGAGGACUCUGACAAGACUGCCAUCGUAAGAUGUGAGGAAGGUGGGGAUGACGUCAAAUCAGCACGGCCCUUACGUCCGGGGCUACACACGUGUUACAAUGGGGGGUACAGAGGGCCGCUACCACGCGAGUGGAUGCCAAUCCCCAAAACCUCUCUCAGUUCGGACUGGAGUCUGCAACCCGACUCCACGAAGCUGGAUUCGCUAGUAAUCGCGCAUCAGCCACGGCGCGGUGAAUACGUUCCCGGGCCUUGUACACACCGCCCGUCAAGCCAUGGGAGCCGGGGGUACCUGAAGUGCGUAACCGCGAGGAGCGCCCUAGGGUAAAACUGGUGACUGGGGCU
rnacentral:rRNA from 1 species